rnacentral:rRNA from 1 species
CGAAACCUUCCUUCGGGAGGGGAGUAGAGUGGCGCACGGGUGAGUAACACGUAGGUAAUUUGCCUUCGGGUGGGGAAUAACAGCCGGAAACGGCUGCUAAUACCGCAUAAUGCAGCGGCUCGACAUCGAGACAGUUGUUAAAGCGGGGGAUUCGCAAGAACCUCGCGCCUGAAGAGAAGCCUGCGGCAGAUUAGCUAGUUGGUAGGGUAAUGGCCUACCAAGGCAACGAUCUGUAGCCGGCCUGAGAGGGCGGUCGGCCACACUGACACUGACAUACGGGUCAGACUCCUACGGGAGGCAGCAGUCGGGAAUUUUGGGCAAUGGGCGAAAGCCUGACCCAGCAACGCCGCGUGAAGGAUGAAAUCCCUCGGGAUGUAAACUUCGCAAGAAUGGGAAGAAUAAGUAGAAGCGAAUACCUUCUAUGAUGACGGUACCAUUUGUAAGCUCCGGCUAACUCCGUGCCAGCAGCCGCGGUAAUACGGGGGGAGCAAGCGUUGUUCGGAUUUACUGGGCGUAAAGGGCGCGUAGGCGGCCACGACAAGUCAGUUGUGAAAUCUCUGGGCUUAACUCAGAACGGUCAACUGAUACUGUCGGGCUAGAGUGCAGAAGGGGCAACUGGAAUUCUCGGUGUAGCGGUGAAAUGCGUAGAUAUCGAGAGGAACACCUGCGGCGAAGGCGGGUUGCUGGGCUGACACUGACGCUGAGGCGCGAAAGCUAGGGGGAGCGAACGGGAUUAGAUACCCCGGUAGUCCUAGCCUUAAACGAUGAAUGCUUGGUGUCUCGGGUUAUAUAGUCCC